CACGUAGGGCGCGAGCGUUGUCCGGAAUUAUUGGGCGUAAAGAGCUCGUAGGCGGCCUGUUGCGUCCGCUGUGAAAGCCCGGGGCUUAACCCCGGGUCGGCAGUGGAUACGGGCAGGCUAGAGGUAGGUAGGGGAGAAUGGAAUUCCCGGUGUAGCGGUGAAAUGCGCAGAUAUCAGGAGGAACACCGGUGGCGAAGGCGGGUCUCUGGGCCGAUACUGACGCUGAGGAGCGAAAGUGUGGGGAGCGAACAGG
rnacentral:rRNA from 1 species